rnacentral:snoRNA from 1 species
UGGACCAAUGAUGACAACUGCCGGGGUAUGAGUCUUGGAUGAUGAACUACAUCUCUGGAACUCUGAGGUCCAA